rnacentral:rRNA from 1 species
UACGUAGGGACCAAGCGUUGUUCGGAUUUACUGGGCGUAAAGGGCGCGUAGGCGGCAAUUCAAGUCAUCUGUGAAAUCUCCGGGCUUAACUCGGAACGGUCAGAUGAUACUGCUUUGCUAGAGUGCGGAAGGGGCAAUCGGAAUUCUUGGUGUAGCGGUGAAAUGCGUAGAUAUCAAGAGGAACACCGGUGGUGUAGACGGCUAUCUGGACCGUAACUGACGCUGAGGCACGAAAGCGUGGGUAGCAAACAGG